GUGAAUCAUCAAAUUUUUGAACGCAAAUUGCACUCUCUUCGGAGAGUAUGCCUGUUUGAGGGUCAGCCUAAAAAAAAAUCGGCAUGGUUGCUGUUUCGCGGUGGCGUUCGUCGGAAAUUGGGUUAUCUUAAAUGUUUGGUUUACGCGACUUAAAAUUUUCUUUAUGAUUUCAUGAACGUUUUCAAGAUUUAUUUCUGUAGACGUUUAUGGUAUCGAUUUUAUUAGGCGUGGUAGUCAUAUCGGAUCAUGGCCAUAAUCUUU
rnacentral:misc_RNA from 1 species